AGGGCAGGUGAGAUGGUCGCUCCGUGAGCCCUGGGCUUGCGGAGAGGAAAGUCCGGGCUCCGAAGGGCAAGGACAGUGGCUAACCGCCACCGUUCCGUCAUGAGUCCGGCUCUGCCGGCUGAUGGCGGUGCAGGGAAAGUGCCGCAGAAAAUAUACCGCCUGCGCCGGGAACCUCCUGGCGCAGGUAAGGGUGAAAAGGCGGGGUAAGAGCCCACCGCUGCAGGGGCGACCCUGCAGGCAUGGUAAACCCUGUCCGGAGCAAGGCCAUGUAGGUUCCGCCAUGAGGGUGGCCCGCCCGAGCGUGCGGAACGGGUAGGCUGCAAGAGCCUGAUGAGUAAUCUCAGGCCUCAGAUGAAUGACCAUCACAUACAGAACCCGGCUUAUUGCCUGCCCUGCAC
rnacentral:RNase_P_RNA from 1 species